GGAGUAUCCUUGAUGGCCGCUCUUCGUCUCAGGAGGAGAGGAAAGUCCGGGCUCCGCAGGGCAGGACGCUGGGUAACGCCCAGUUGGCGCGAGCCAAAGGAAAGUGCCACAGAAACAUACCGCCUGCUUGCAGGUAAGGGUGAAAAGGUGGGGUAAGAGCCCACCGGGUGGAGAGUGAUCUCCAUGCCAGGCAAACCCCGUCCGGAGCAAGACCGAAUAGGAGGGGAUGACGCUGCCCGCCGACCCUCGGGUACGGUCGCGUAAAGAACGUCGUAAGGCGUUUUUCAGAUAAAUGGCCAUCCAUUGACAGAACCCGGCUUACAGGAUACUCCCUUG
rnacentral:RNase_P_RNA from 1 species